CGGGUUGUCAUGCCAAUGGCACUGCCCGGUAGCUAAAUGCGGAAGAGAUAAGUGCUGAAAGCAUCUAAGCACGAAACUUGCCCCGAGAUGAGUUCUCCCUGAGACUUAGAGUCUCCUGAAGGAACGUUGAAGACGACGACGUUGAUAGGCCGGGUGUGUAAGCGCAGCGAUGCGUUGAGCUAACCGGUACUAAUGAACCGUGAGGCUUAACCUU
rnacentral:rRNA from 1 species